rnacentral:rRNA from 1 species
CCGUGCCCAAGAGAUCGGGAUAACACCUGGAAACAGAUGCUAAUACCGGAUAACAACAGAUGAUGCCUAUCAACUGUUUAAAAGAUGGUUCUGCUAUCACUCUUGGAUGGACCUGCGGUGCAUUAGCUAGUUGGUAGGGUAACGGCCUACCAAGGCGAUGAUGCAUAGCCGAGUUGAGAGGCUGAUCGGCCACAUUGGGACUGAGACACGGCCCAAACUCCUACGGGAGGCAGCAGGC